AAGUGAAUGGUGAAAUCUGGAGGCUCAACCUUACAGACUAUUAUUCAAACUCACUAACUCGAGAGUAGCAGAGGUAACUGGAAUUUCUGAAGUAGGGGUAAUAUCCGUAGAUAUCAGAAGGAACACCAAUGGCGUAGGCAGGUUACUGGGCUAUUUCUGACACUGAGGCACGAAAGCGUGGGGAGCGAACCGGAUUAGAUACCCGGGUAGUCCACGCCGUAAACGAUGGAUACUA
rnacentral:rRNA from 1 species